rnacentral:sRNA from 1 species
AAAUCGCAUGAGGGAUAGUAGUGGGAAUCCUUUUGUGUCUCGUUUCUUUAACGAGACACAAAAGAUUACUUCGUCAGUUCACUAUCGC